rnacentral:rRNA from 1 species
AACGCGAAGAACCUUACCGGGGCUUGACAUCCUGCGCUAUCCUAGGAGACUAGGUUUCCGGGCAACCGGACGCAGAGACAGGUGCUGCAUGGCUGUCGUCAGCUCGUGCCGUGAGGUGUUGGGUUAAGUCCCGCAACGAGCGCAACCCUUGCCGUGUGUUGGUCGCAAGAUCUCUCACGCGGGACCGCCGGUGACAAGCCGGAGGAAGGUGGGGAUGACGUCAAGUCAGCAUGGCCCUUACGUCCCGGGCUACACACGUGCUACAAUGGGAGGGACAACGAGUCGCGAACCCGCGAGGGCAAGCUAAUCUCACAAACCCUCUCUCAGUUCGGAUUGAAGGCUGCAACUCGCCUUCAUGAAGUCGGAAUCGCUAGUAACCGUAGAUCAGCUACGCUGCGGUGAAUACGUUCCCGGGCCUUGUACACACCGCGCAUA